rnacentral:rRNA from 1 species
GAGUUUGAUCGUGGCUCAGAACGAACGCUGGCGGCAUGCCUAACGCAUGCAAGUCGAACGAACUCUUCGGAGUUAGUGGCGCACGGGUGCGUAACGCGUGGGAAUCUGCCCUUGGGUACGGAAUAACUCAGAGAAAUUUGUGCUAAUACCGUAUAAUGACUUCGGUCCAAAGGUUUAUCGCCCAAGGAUGAGCCCGCGUAAGAUUAGCUAGUUGGUGGGGUAAAGGCCUACCAAGGCUACGAUCUUUAGCUGGUCUGAGAGGAUGAUCAGCCACACUGGGACUGAGACACGGCCCAGACUCCUACGGGAGGCAGCAGUGGGGAAUAUUGGACAAUGGGCGAAAGCCUGAUCCAGCAAUGCCGCGUGAGUGAUGAAGGCCUUAGGGUUGUAAAGCUCUUUUACCCGGGAUGAUAAUGACAGUACCGGGAGAAUAAGCUCCGGCUAACUCCGUGCCAGCCGCCGCCGUAAU